UACGAAGGGGGCUAGCGUUGUUCGGAAUUACUGGGCGUAAAGCGCACGUAGGCGGAAUGUUAAGUCAGGGGUGAAAUCCCGGGGCUCAACCCCGGAACUGCCUUUGAUACUGGCAUUCUCGAGUCCGGAAGAGGUGAGUGGAAUUCCGAGUGUAGAGGUGAAAUUCGUAGAUAUUCGGAGGAACACCAGUGGCGAAGGCGGCUCACGUGGUCCGGUACUGACGCUGAGGCACGAAAGCGUGGGGAGCAAACAGG
rnacentral:rRNA from 1 species